rnacentral:lncRNA from 1 species
GAUCUGUAUAGGGUUUAGUGCUGUCUGUGGUUUUAAGGAUUCGGUGGGGUCUUGAAAUAAAUCCCCCACAGACAGGGAAAGACUACUGGGUAAUGAAACUAAAGUUGUUGUCAGGAAAUCAUGUUUUGUUCUUAUUUCCUCCAUUUCUAUCAUGUAAGUACAAAAAUAAUGAAAGUUUUUAAGGCAAAGUAUUGAGUACAGUUAGAAACCAUGGUCAACUGCUCCUCCUUAAAACUCCUGGGAUUUUCUCACACAUUGCCUUCCUAGUUCUCCUUUAACUUAUUUAAGCAGAAUUCCAUUUAAUCUGUUACGUUUCUUGUUGCUCUAUGCAUUCUCACCUCAUUGAAUUUAUUCAUAUUGUGUUUUUUAUCUUGAGCUAUCUUCCUGUAUUUUAUUUUUGGUUUACUCAAUAACCUGACUGUAACACAAUUAAUAAAAUUUUAUAAUAAUGUCUAGUUUUACAUAAAAUAAUUGAAGAUGCUAUGAAGUCAUAAAAUGUAGAAUUGGAUUCUAAAUGUCCUUUCAUUCAUUUUUCCUGUGGCAGUACUGGCGAAGGUAGCUGCAUAACUGGGGAUGACGGGAACGGGAGAAUCAGCUAUGAGAGAUUUCCAGCCAUGAUGGAAACAAUGCUGUCCCGGGCAGUGACAGUGUCUAAGACAGAAAAUGAAAGUGCAGAAACAACUUUUGAAAUUUCCGGGUCAUGUUUGCCACUGCUGAAUUGAAUAAAAAGUCACAAGUCAAGUGCGCUGAGGCCAUCUGGGAGCCCACCAUUCAAGGCCAUAGAUGCAGGUAAGGUGAAAACUUGGGGCCAUUAUUGCAAUUGAUCUACCAUAACUCCCUUUUCAGGGGUUGCUCUAACCACCUGUGAUAUGAAACUGAAGAUGAAGUCUGAGAUGCUGAGUGGUGGAUGAGGGAACAUAGAAUAAGAGUGAUGAGCUGACAUUGCUUCUGGGGAUGACUGGUGGAGGACAGCCUCAAAUGGAACUGAUCACUUCUACCAAAAUGUCUGAUUAACUUGCUUUUCACUGCUUCUCCUCAUAUUUUUCAGUAGUCACACCAAUCAAUCACUGUGUCACUAUAUUACCUAAAGUAUUUGGAGCACAUACUUAAAGAAACUAGUCAUUGAUUCUACUGAUCCCUAAUUUUAUUAUUAUCUCUUAGUCUCUUGUAUAUGAGAUAAAAGUAUUUUGAAAGGGUAAACGUUGGUGAAAACAGUUAGUAGAGGUGAUUUGUGGAGAAGUAUUUUUAUUUUUACCUUCCAAUAGGAUUAUCUCACAGUGUUUGUAAUGUGUAGAAAUACCUGAAAGGCUUUAAUAUGAGUAAAUAAUUUAAAAAGUAAAAAAUGUCAAUAAUAUUU